AUACAAAAAGGGCAGUGUCUGUGGUCUAUAAGGCGGUCAUUUGAGACCACAAUAUUGGUAAAAACUGACUAAACUCUCCAGGUUGAUGAGAUUAUGUGGUCGUGGUGUGAUAUAGUUUUCAAACUUUUUGUCUUAAUUUGGUUUGAAGCAAAUUUGAUUUGUUAACAGUUGGUCCGACACAUCUCAUGAAAACCAAAAAUAUUUUUCUAUGUAACAAACAUUCAAAGUUUAGUAUAAAUAUUCCCGUUUCUGAAGUCAGUGAUGAUGAUCUGUCAAGACUGAUGUCUACUGAUGUUUUUGUCAAUAGUCCUCUAAGAAGUGCUGAACUGACAUAGGUAUAUUAAAAUGUUUGUCUUCGAUAGGUAUAUAAGACAAUGUUUUUAGGUAGGAUAUUAUGGAAAACUGUGUAUCUUCCAUCUGUUAACAGAAUUUUGUCCACAGUAAUACUUUCUUACUAAAUUUGAGACUUUGGAAACAUGAUCAGCAGCUAAAAUAGUUGUCUGAUUGCAAUUGGAAACAUGAUCAGCAGCUAAAAUAGUUGUCUGAUUGCAAUUGAGUUUUUCUUUUCAAUAACUUUUUCCAUUGAGUUAAAUGCUUCCAUAAUUUUAUAUCAGGGAGGAUUAAGUUAGCCUUUGGCUAACAUUUCCUGUUUGGCUCUGAGGUCUUCCAAAAUUGAUGAACAGUAACUUAACAUUCAAAGUUUAGUAUAAAUACCCACACGUUUUUUUAUGUCGGUGAUGAUGAUCUGUUAAGACUGAUGUCUACUGAUGUUUUUGUCAAUAGUCCUCUAAGAAGUGCUGAACUGACAUAGAUAUAAUAUAUAAAAAUUAUUUUUAAUUGUCCCUAAUAUCUUGUGAGAAGUAUAUGUGCUGAACUGAGGUAAUUAUAAAGCAAUUCUUUGAUGUGUAAGUUUGUCCACAGUAAUACUUUUUUUUAAUGAAUUUGAGACUUUGGAGAUAUGAUCAGUAGCUGAUAUAGUUGUCUACUUGCAGUUGAACUUUUCUUUUCUAUGUUUUUCCGUUAAGUAAAAUGCUUUGCAUAAUUUUAUGUGUUAGAGGGAGGAUGGAAUAUUAAGUAAGCCUUUGGCUAACAGUUCCUUUUUGGUUCUGAGGUCUUCCAACAUUGAUAAAUAGUAACUUAACAAAUGUAGGAAGUUCAGUAUAAAUAUUCACGUUUCUGAUGUCGGUGAUGAUGAUCUGUAAAGACUGAUGUCUACUGAUGUUUUUGUCAAUAGUCCUCUAAGAAGUGCUGAACUGACAUAGAUAUAUCAAAAUGUUUGUCUUCGAUAAGUAUAUAAGACAAUGUUUACAUCCUUACAAUGAGUUAAGAGGUAGGGUAUUAUGGAAAACUGUGUAUCUUCCAUCUGUUCACAGAAUUUUGUCCCCAGUAAUACUUUCUUACUAAAUUUGAGACUUUGGAGACAUGAACAGUAGCUGAAGUAGUUGUCAGCUUGCAAUUGAGUUUUUCUUUUCCAUAACUUUUUCCAUGGAGUUAAAUGCUUCCAUAAUUUUAUGUGUUGGAGGGAGGAUAGAGUAUUAGGUAAGCCUUUGCACUUGUGGGUUUCUGAUUGAUAGUCUUCACUAUUCUCAAGAAGUUUUGAACCAAUAGCUACUGUUAGUUAACAAACAUUCCAAGUUUAUAAAUACUCGCGUUUCUGAUGUCAGUGAUGAUGAUCUGUCAAGACUGAUGUCUACUGAUGUUUUUGUCAUUAGUCCUCUAAGAAGUGCUGAACUGACAGAUAGGUAUAUCAAAAUGUUUGUCUUUGAUAUGCAAGUUUGUCCCCAGUAAUACUUUCUUACUAAAUUUGAGACUUUGGAGAGCUUAUCAGUAGCUGAAAUAGUUGUCUGCUUGCAAUUGAGUUUUUCUUUUCUAUGUUUUUCCAUUGAGUAAAAUGCUUUCCAUAAUUUUAUGUGUUGGAGGGAGGAUGGAAUAUUAAGUAAACCUUUGGCUACCAGUUCCUUUUUGGCUCUGAAGUCUUCCAAAAUUGAUAAAUAGUAACUUAACAAAUGUAGGAAGUUCAGUAUAAAUAUUCACGUUUCUGGUGUCAGUGAUGAUGAUCUGUUAAGACUGAUGUCUACUGAUGUUUUUGUCAAUAGUCCUCUAAGAAGUGCUGAACUGACAUAGUUAUAAGAAAGAUUGUUUAUUUGUCCCUAAUAUCUUGUGAGAAGUAUAUGUGCUGAACUGAGUUAAUUAUAAAUCAAUAAUGAUAGCCCGUCUUUGAUGUCAAUGGGAGAAGUGUUGGACUGAGAAUUAUUAUUUUUGGUCUUUGAUAUGAACAUCACUUGUGGGUUUAUGAUUGAUAGUCUUCAUUAUUCUCAAGAGGUUUUGAACCAAUAGCUACUGUUAGGUAUCAAGCAUUCAGAGUUCAGUAUAAAUAUUCACGUUUCCGAUGUCGGUGAUGAUGAUCUGUAAAGACUGAUGUCUACUGAUGUUUUUGUCAUCAGUCCUCUAAGAAGUGCUGAACUGACAGGUAUAUUAAAAUGUUUGUCUUUGAUAGGUAUUUAAGACAAUGUUUACAUCCUUACAAUGAGUUAAGAGGUAGGGUAUUAUGGAAAACUGUGUUUUCCAUCUGUUCACAGAAUUUUGUCCACCGUAAUACUUUCUUACUAAAUUUGAGACUUUGAAGACAUGAUCAGCAUCUAAAAUAGUUGUCUGAUUGCAAUUAUCGAAUUGAGUUUUUCUUUUCAAUAACUUUUUCCAUUGAGUUAAAUGCUUCCAUACUUUUAUGUGUUGGAGGGAGAAAGAGUAUUAAGUCAGCCUUUGGCUAACGUCUCCUGUUUCGCUCUGAGGUCUUCCAACAUUGAAGAACAGUAACUUUUAAAACAUUCAAAAUUUAGUAUAAAUACUCACGUUUUUUAUAUUGGUGAUGAUCUGUUAAGACUGAUGUCUACUGAUGUUUUUGUCAAUAGUCCUCUAAGAAGUGCUGAACUGACAUAGAUAUAUGUAUAUAGAAAUUACUUUUAUUUGUCCCUAAUAUCUUGUGAGAAGUAUAUGUGCUGAUCUGAGGUAGUUAUAAAGCAAUAAUGAUUGCCCAUCUUUGAUGUCAAUGGGAGAAGUGUUGGACUGAGAAUUAUUAUUUUUGGUCUUUGAUAUGAACAUCACUUGUGGGUUUCUGAUUGAUAGUUUUCACUAUUCUGAAGAAGUUUUGAACCAAUAGCUACAGUUGGGUAACAAGCAUUCAAAGUUUAGUAUAAAGACUCACGUUUCUGAUGUCGGUGAUGAUGAUCUGUCCAGACUGAUGUCUACUGAUGUUUUUGUCAAUAGUCCUCUAAGAAGUGCUGAACUGACAUAGAUAUAUAGAAAUUACUUUUAUUUGUCCCUAAUAUCUUGUGAGAAGUAUAUGUGCUGAACUGAGUUAAUUAUGAAGCAAUAAUGAUAGCCGGUCUUUGAUGUCAAUGGGAGAAGUGUUGGACUGAGAAUUAUUAUUUUUGGUCUUUGAUAUGAACAUCACUUGUGGGUUUCUGAUUGAUAGUCUUCACUAUCCUUGAGAAGUUUUAAACCAACAGUUACUGUUAGGUAACAAACAUCCAAAGUUUAGUAUAAAUACUCGCUUUUCUGAUGUCGGUGAUGAUGAUCUGUCAAGACUGAUGUCUACUGAUGUCUUUGUCAAUAGUCCUCUAAGAAGUGCUGAACUGACAUAUAUAGGUAUAUAGAAAUUAUGUUUAUUUGUCUUUGAUGUGCUGAAACUGGAAGUUACAUAAAAAUAAAGUUUCCCUUUGUCUUGUCUAUGAGCAUCACUUGUGUAGUUCUUUGACUUUUGAUUGUUGGAUUCUGAAUUAAUUUGAAGCCAUGUCAGUGGUGAUGAUUUGUUGAGACUGACUUCUGAUGUUCCAAUCAUUUGUCCUCUAAGAAGUGCUGAACUGACAGCUAUAUUAAAGCAAUUUUCUUUUGUAUAUUAAUGCUCUUCAGUUAUUAUUAUAAGAGUAUAAAUUAAGCUAAUUACUUUCUCAAAGUAUCAACACUUUUUUGUCACUAACAAGUUCUUGAAGAUGUAUGAUGCAGUUGAUCAUUUUUAGCUCUGCUGUAUAUACCAGGGAGUAUGUUGAAAGGUAGUAAUAUUUUGUAGAGUCCUGAUCUGAGGCUAGCCAUGUCAGUGGUGAUGAUUUGUUCUGUCUGACUCUUGAUGUUCCAAUCAUUUGUCCUCUAAGAAGUGCUGAACUGACUUUGGCAUA